AAGUCGUAACAAGGUUUCCGUAGGUGAACCUGCGGAAGGAUCAUUAUCCUUUAGCGUAGCGCUCUUCUGAGUACUACAAGCGCAUGCACUCUUUAGUGUUGCGUUACAAUGCAUAGCGAGCGGGCCUCGUUCCGCUCGCUUUCAAAUCCGUGCUCGCUCGAGCCCGGUCGGGUACCUAUGUGCGAAAGCACACAAGCGACAGAUGCUCGUCUGUCGUGUGGUGUAAAGAUUAUUCUCGCUGAAGAAUAACGCCCGCUUAGCGCAGUCAUUUUUACUACAAAUUUAUAUCGCAUUUAACUAUGUUGUAUGUGUAAUGCACUGUCUUGCUUUCUUAGUGAGAUAUUAACACAAAUACAACCCUAUGCGGUGGAUCAUUUGGCUC
rnacentral:misc_RNA from 1 species